GACUCCUACGGGAGCCGGACUUCGCACCUGACUUUAAUUGCAGGAUGACUCCGCCCAGACUCCUACGGGAGCCGGGCUCCGUCCCCCACUCCAACGGCUGCAGGCAGACUUCGCCCGGACUCCCAUGGGAGCCGGACUCCGCCCGCGACUUCAACCGCAAGUAGACUUCGCCCGGACUCCUACGGGAGCCGGGCUCCAUCCUCAACUUCAACUGCUGGAAGACUCCACCCGGACUCCUA
rnacentral:lncRNA from 1 species